CCUACGGGAGGCAGCAGUGAGGAAUAUUGGUCAAUGGACGAGAGUCUGAACCAGCCAAGUAGCGUGAAGGAUGACUGCCCUAUGGGUUGUAAACUUCUUUUAUAUGGGAAUAAAACGUUCCACGUGUGGGAUUUUGUAUGUACCCUAUGAAUAAGGAUCGGCUAACUCCGUGCCAGCAGCCGCGGUAAUACGGAGGAUCCGAGCGUUAUCCGGAUUUAUUGGGUGUAAAGGGAGCGUAGGUGGAUUGUUAAGUCAGUUGUGAAAGUUUGCGGCUCAACCGUAAAAUUGCAGUUGAAACUGGCAGUCUUGAGUACAGUAGAGGUGAGCGGAAUUCGUGGUGUAGCGGUGAAAUGCUUAGAUAUCACGAAGAACUCCGAUUGCGAAGGCAGCUCACUGGACUGUAACUGACACUGAGGCUCGAAAGUGUGGGUAGCAAACAGGAUUAGAUACCCUAGUAGUC
rnacentral:rRNA from 1 species